rnacentral:rRNA from 1 species
UACAGAGGUGGCAAGCGUUGUUCGGAAUUACUGGGCGUAAAGGGCGCGUAGGCGGUCUUGUCAGUCCCUUGUGAAAUCCCCCGGCUCAACUGGGGAACUGCACGGGAAACAGCAGGGCUUGAGUUCGGGAGAGGGAAGCGGAAUUCCGGGUGUAGCGGUGAAAUGCGUAGAUAUCCGGGGGAACACCGGUGGCGAAGGCGGCUUCCUGGACCGAUACUGACGCUGAGGCGCGAAAGCUAGGGGAGCAAACGGG